GUCCACGCCUAACGAUGAUCACUCGAUGUGUGCGAUACACUGUACGCGUCUGAGCGAAGCAUUAAGUGAUCCACCUGGGAGUACGACCGCAAGGUUGAACUCAAGGAAUUGACGGGCCCGGCACAAGCGGAGGAGCAUGUGGUUUAAUUCGAUGAUACGCGAGGAACCUUACCAGGGCUUGAAAGUUAGUGAAGGAUGUGGAAACAUGUCCGUCAGCAAUGACACGAAACUAGGUGCUGCAUGGCUGUCGU
rnacentral:rRNA from 1 species